UACGGGGGGGGCAAGCGUUGUUCGGAAUUACUGGGCGUAAAGGGCUCGUAGGCGGCCAACUAAGUCGGACGUGAAAUCCCUCAGCUUAACUGGGGAACUGCGUCCGAUACUGGAUGGCUUGGAUUUGGGAGAGGGAUGCGGAAUUCCAGGUGUAGCGGUGAAAUGCGUAGAUGUCAGGAGGAAUACCGGUGGCGAAAGCGACUCUCUGGACGGCAACUGACGCUGAGGCACGAAAGCGUGGGGAGCAAACAGG
rnacentral:rRNA from 1 species